AAUAAAAAUGAGAAUCCCACGAUUGGCAAAGUGGGCCAUUUUUCUUUCUUUCUUUUUCUUUUUUUUCUUUU
rnacentral:ribozyme from 13 species